GCCAGGUGUGGUGGCACAUGCCUAUAAUCCCAGAGACUCUGGAGGCUGAGGCAGGAGGAUUAUGGAUUCGAAGCCAGCCUCGGCAAAAGUGAGGCACUAAGCAACUCAGUGAGACCCUGUCUCUA
rnacentral:sRNA from 1 species